UUGUCUCACCCCGUGCUCCCCCGCACUCACACCUCUCUCCUGAACAAUGCCUGGCCGGGCCUUUUGCAAACACCCCACACAAACCUGUCCCUGCCUGGGCAAGCACCUUGGCUGCUGCUGUGGCUCAUCCAUCUUCCAUUUCCCCUGGUUUCUAGCAGCACUUCCCCGUGCUGACUGACUGACAGCACAGGCAGCCAGACACUCCCCACGGGGAGAAUGAGCUGACUGCAUGGAAUUUGGCCAUGCCCUUACCAUAACUUCAUUAGUAAUGGUGUUUUCUUCCCUUUGGACCAUGCUCUGCAGCAUCCAGCUCACACAUCCUGAAACCCACCCCACUGCAGGAGCUGAAACACAAAGUGAAGCUCCCAAAGCUCCAGCUGACCAGAGAUCCCAUACAAGAACCUCUGAGGGCAGGGUUACUUCUUUCUUUCCCAGUUCUUUAUGAAGUUGGUCAGGAUUUGUAUUAUCUGUGCACAUGUUUAAAGGAAAGUCUGGAAAGAGGCAGAGGAAGAUCUCUUGCACAGCUGAACAUGCUCGUGAGGGAACUGACACACAUGACAGUGAGAGCAGUAAGACACAAAACCAGAUGGGCAGAUGGAGCUGCCUGAACCAACAAUUCGAGCACCCUGGUUUUAUUUGUGUUAGAAAGAACUGUGCUGAGACAGAGGCCAAAGUGGGUUUCACACCAGGUCUUCAAAAUGCUUGGGGCUUGGAGCCCUGCAAAGGGCAGCGAUGGUACACCAUGGAUGUCACAGCUGGGGCACCUGGAGCGCAGAGCAAGGAGAUGCCAACACCUGGAUUUGUACAGGCAGCAUGGUAUGAAGACAACCUUUCCCAUAAAGCCAGAAAAAACAAAAGUACAAAACGAAAGAAACCUUCCCCCAGCGCCAGGAAACUAUAAAUAUUUUACUGGAAAAGAUCUCAUAUAUGAGCUUUAAAAACAAUCAAUUCAUUUUGUCACAGACAGGGCUGUUGGAAUGGAGUGUGCUCCAUGGAGAUGAAGUAACACGCUCCUCUUCUCAGACUCUUCCUCUCUGAUGCAGCGUUUGUGAAGUCACACUUCAGCCUCACACCAGCCCAAUCGGCAGGAAGGUAUUCCACGUGUUUCCCUGGGUUCAUGGGGACAUGGAAGCAGUGCUGGACAAUAUUUUUGCCUUUGUGAACAUCAGAUGCCUCCGUGGCAGCACUGGUUUGUCUGCGUCCCUCACUUACCAAGGGGAGGGCAAAAGCAAUUUGAGGUCACGCUGGUCCCCAAUAUUCUGAAAAUGGAGUAUCCAGUGUAUACACUGCUGCUGAAAAUGCUUCUUUGUAGGGAAAUGUAACUGGGACACGAGAUUAAUGGAUCAAAAUUGCA